rnacentral:rRNA from 1 species
UACGUAGGGUGCAAGCGUUGUCCGGAAUUAUUGGGCGUAAAGAGCUUGUAGGCGGUUUGUCGCGUCUGCUGUGAAAUUUCGGGGCUCAACCCCGAACUUGCAGUGGGUACGGGCAGACUAGAGUUCGGUGAGGGGAGACUGGAAUUCCUGGUGUAGCGGGUGAAAUGCGCAGAUAUCAGGAGGAACACCGGUGGCGAAGGCGGGUCUCUGGGCCGAUACUGACGUGAGGAGCGAAAGCGUGGGGAGCGAACAGG